UACGAAGGGGGCUAGCGUUGCUCGGAAUCACUGGGCGUAAAGGGCGCGUAGGCGGGUCUUUAAGUCAGGGGUGAAAUCCUGGAGCUCAACUCCAGAACUGCCUUUGAUACUGAAGAUCUUGAGUUCGGGAGGGGUGAGUGGAACUGCGAGUGUAGAGGUGAAAUUCGUAGAUAUUCGCAAGAACACCAGUGGCGAAGGCGGCUCACUGGCCCGAUACUGACGCUGAGGCACGAAAGCGUGGGGAGCAAACAGG
rnacentral:rRNA from 1 species